GACGAACGCUGGCGGCGUGCCUAACACAUGCAAGUCGAACGAGUGGCGGACGGGUGAGUAAUGUCUGGGAAACUGCCCGAUGGUGGGGGAUAACUACUGGCAACGGUAGCUAAUCCCGCAUACCAUCGGAUGUGCCCAGAUGGGCUUAGCUAGUAGGUGGGGUAACGGCUCACCUAGGCGACGAUCCCUAGCUGGUCUGAGAGGAUGACCAGCCACACUGGAAGUAAGACACGGUCCAGACUCCUACGGGAGGCAGCAGUGGGGAAAAUUGCACAAUGGGCGCAAGCCUGAUGCAGCCAUGGCGCGUGUAUGAAGAAGGCCUUCGGGUUGUAAAGUACUUUCAGCGAGGAGGCGUUACUCGCAGAAGAAGCAUCGGCUAACUCCGUGCCAGUAGCCGCGGUAAUAC
rnacentral:rRNA from 1 species